AAGGUCACGGCGAGACGAGCCGUUUAUCAUUACGAUAGGUGUCAAGUGGAAGUGCAGUGAUGUAUGCAGCUGAGGCAUCCUAACAGACCGCUUAGGCUUGAAC
rnacentral:rRNA from 12 species